CCGCUAUUGGAGUUCGAUUAAGCCAUGCGAGUCGCGAGAAAUUAGAUUCUCGGCGUACCGCUCAGUAACACGUGGGUAACCUGCCCUAUGCUGGAUAAUAACCUCGGGAAACUGAGUAUAAUGAUCCAUAGUUCACUACGCCUGGAACGGUGAGUGGAUGAAAGCUCCGGCGGCAUAGGAUGGGCCUGCGGCGUAUCAGGUAGUAGGGGGUGUAACGUACCCUCUAGCCCUCUACGCGUACGGGUGUUGGGAGACAUAGCCCGGAGAUGGAUUCUGAGACACGAAUCCAGACCCUACGGGGUGCAGCAGGCGCGAAAACUUGGCAACGCGAGAAAUCGUGACCAGGGAACUCCAAGUGCAUCGGGUAAGACCGGUGCUUUUCUUGACUCUAAAUAGGUCUUGGAAUAAGGGGUGGGUAAGGACGGUGCCAGCCGCCGCGGUAAUACCGGCGCCUCAAGUGGUAGUCGCUUUUAUUGGGCCUAAAACGUCCGUAGCCGGCCUGAUACAUUCGUGGGUAAAUCAACCAGCUCAACUGGUUGAAUUCUGCGAGGACGGUCAGACUUGGGACCGGGAGAGGUGUGGGGUACGCUCAGGGUAGGGGUAAAAUCCUGUCAUCCUGAGCGGACCACCUGUUGCGAAGGCGCCACACUAGAACGGAUCCGACGGUCAGGGACGAAGCCUAGGGGCACGAACCGGAUUAGAUACCCGGGUAGUCCUAGGUGUAAACGCUGUGGACUUGAUGUUGGGGGUGCUCCGAGCACUCUCAGUGUCGAAGCGAAGGUGAUAAGUCCACUGCCUGGGAAGUACGGUCGCAAGGCUGAAACUUAAAGGAAUUGGCGGGGGAGCACCGCAACCUGAGGAUUGUGCGG
rnacentral:rRNA from 1 species